UGAGUUUGAUCAUGGCUCAGAUUGAACGCUGGCGGCAGGCCUAACACAUGCAAGUCGAGCGGAAACGAGUUAUCUGAACCUUCGGGGGACGAUAACGGCGUCGAGCGGCGGACGGGUGAGUAAUGCCUAGGAAAUUGCCCUGAUGUGGGGGAUAACCAUUGGAAACGAUGGCUAAUACCGCAUAAUGCCUACGGGCCAAAGAGGGGGACCUUCGGGCCUCUCGCGUCAGGAUAUGCCUAGGUGGGAUUAGCUAGUUGGUGAGGUAAUGGCUCACCAAGGCGACGAUCCCUAGCUGGUCUGAGAGGAUGAUCAGCCACACUGGAACUGAGACACGGUCCAGACUCCUACGGGAGGCAGCAGUGGGGAAUAUUGCACAAUGGGCGCAAGCCUGAUGCAGCCAUGCCGCGUGUGUGAAGAAGGCCUUCGGGUUGUAAAGCACUUUCAGUCGUGAGGAAGGUAGUGUAGUUAAUAGCUGCAUUAUUUGACGUUAGCGACAGAAGAAGCACCGGCUAACUCCGUGCCAGCAGCCGCGGUAAUACGGAGGGUGCGAGCGUUAAUCGGAAUUA
rnacentral:rRNA from 1 species